UUUAAAAUGGUCAACAACAUUAAGUGGGUUGGUAUAUGGUAUUGUUGGGGAAACCACCUUCGGAAUCCUCCUUCGGAGGAAGAAGCCCUUUUUUGAAGUUAACUAUAACGGCUUGUUUACUUUUGUGGUGAACCCUGAGUGCAGGGAAGAGGAAGGUGGCAACUUUGACCUUAGUCGUACGAAGGAGUCUUCGGUACAAAGCAAGCGGAGGGCUGGCCAUUGGGACCCCAGUCACAAUUUAAAAAAAGCAAUUUAAAUCACAACUGAGGAGGUGGCAAGAGCAAUAUAGAAGGACGAGGAAGAAGAGGAGGAAGAGGCCAGCAACAGAUGUAUUAUUGUUGGCCUCAUGGCAAGAACAAAGAGCACCACACACAUUAGUGUGUUGGCGCUAUUCAAAAGGAGUAUGAGGAAGAGUAGAAAAGGGCUUCUGCAGGAAAUACAGUAAAUCAUGUCGCAGCUGCCAAGCAAAUGCAAGUGCCAAAGCCCUUUGUAUAUUCGCCUCAUCCCUACAUGGUGCUGCCAUUCGUGCCACAGCAAGUAUUCCAGCCAUCUGCGCCACAGCUACUGCUGCCGCCGCCACCGCCGCCACCACAAUUAACUCACUCUUCAGUAUUUGUGGCAACCUGGGCAAACAGUACG
rnacentral:lncRNA from 1 species